UUCAAUUUUCGUCCUAAAUUUUAGUUGUUUUCCUUUUUUUUUCCUUAUUCAACAAUUGUAUAUGUAUUGUGUUUCUUAUGUUUUUUCAUAUUUUUUUGAUGAAAUAAUCGAUUGUUUGUUCUUAUUAGAUCUCAAAUUAGUCACAGAAUGAAUGAAUCAUCUUCAUCUAUGAGGAUUAUCACAGGGUCUAUGGUAAAAUCAAAACAAGUUCAACAUGAACAAACAAUGGAAGAAUUGAGAU